CGAACGGGUGAGUAAUGCGUGACCAACCUGCCCCAUGCUCCAGAAUAGCUCUUGGAAACGGGUGGUAAUGCUGGAUGCUCCAACUUGACGCAUGUCUUGUUGGGAAAGUGUUUAGUGGCAUGGGAUGGGGUCGCGUCCUAUCAGCUUGUAGGCGGGGUAAUGGCCCACCUAGGCUUCGACGGGUAGCCGGCCUGAGAGGGCGGACGGCCACAUUGGGACUGAGAUACGGCCCAGACUCCUACGGGAGGCCAGCA
rnacentral:rRNA from 1 species